CCCACUGCAUCCCAAAACCAGUCCAACCUGUCUCUGCCUCCCUAACCUGUUCUUCCUCUCAGCCAUCCCUUCCUCCCACCCCAAGCCGCACCCCCAGCUACCUACUAACCUCAUCCCACCUCCUUGACCUGUCCGUCUUCCCUGGACUGACCUUUUCUCUCCUCUCCACCUUCGGUCCGCCUCCCCCUCUCUCCCUAUUUAUUCCAGUUCCCUCUCCCCGUCCCCCUCUCUGAUGAAGGGUCUAGGCCCGAAACGUCAGCUUUUGUGCUCCUGAGAUACUGCUUGGCCUGCUGUGCUCAUCCAGCCUCACAUUUUAUUAUUUUAGGAGAGAGAGCUGUUUUGGUUUGUGAUACAAGAGACGAGGCUGUCUAUGCCUUUCACCCAUCGGUAGCUCUCCUCCUGUCCCUGCCUCUAUGCACACACUCUGCCAGGCAUAGUCUUCCUCCCUCUGUGUGUGUGUGUGUGUGUGUGUGUGUCUCUCUCGCUUCAGCUCCUAAACCUAAGAUGCAUCGGAUAUAAAAACACGCACAUAAACACACACACACACACACACAUCAACAAGCCAUGGAGAAAGAUCAGGAAUUACUGCAAGCUGUCAAAACCGAAGAUGUAGCUGCAAUGCAGAAGCUGUUGCAAAGGCCGAAACAAGGCAAAGCGAAACCAUACGAUUAGACUGUUUUGAUGAGAAAUUUAAAGAUUACGUGUCCCAUCCGUUUGACUCACAGUUUGGUACCAUAGGUUGGUACGAUCUUCGUUGGAGAAGGAAAAGGGAUGUUCCAGAUACAGAAAACCGUCAAACCAUUUACAACAAAGUCCAUUUCUGGACACAAUCAUCGCCUUGGAAGCUUCAUCACGAUACUACUUUGCAUUUCUGAAGAGGGAAGAAGAAAUCAACAUGCAAAUUCAAUUCCAUGGUUUUGUAAGUCCCAUUGAGAACACGAUUAAUUUGCGCCGGCACAAUGCUCUGACCGAGAAAGAAUUGAAGACAAGGAAAUAUUGGUGAUGCAAUGAAGAGUUUGAUUCUCAAAUAUAAUUGCUGUUAUAGUUUCCACUUGGAAGAAAGAUUCACAUCAAAUUGACUGGUCAAGUAAAUGGGACACUGACUAACCAUACGAUUAGACUGUUUUGAUGAGGAAUUGAAAGAUUAUGUGUCCCAUCCGUUUGACUCACAGUUUGGUACCAUAGGUUGGUACGAUCUUCGUUGGAGAAGGAAAAGGAAUGUUCCAGAUACAGAAAAUCGUCAAACCAUUUACUACAAAGUCCGUUUCUGGGUGGAGUUAGUGGAACCGAAAAAGAUGUCUCCCUCACAGCGUUUGUGACAAAAGAAUUGCAUCGUUCCUUGGCGGCCUUUCAACAGAACAAUAUUCAGAGAUUUCCCGAGUGUUCGACCGAAAGGAAAAACAGCAUUGAGGGAUAUGGACCAAAGGCAAUAUGGAGAUUGUGAUGUUGGUAACUGGAAAGUCUCCAUUGUUGGAGGACGAGAAGCCGUAUCCAAUUGAAGCAGCAUAGGCUUUUGCGAUGACUGUGGAAACCACUGCUUAUGCCUUGCUUCAAGCAUUGUCAAGGAAUGAUAUUGACUAUGCAACACCGAUUGCGAGGUGGCUAACGAUGCAACAGAACUAUGGUGGUGGAUUUCAC